AGAUUCUCCCCAGACGCCAAGGUUGCGGGUCAUGGAGUCCCGAACCCUCCUCCUGCUGUUCUCGGGAGCCGUGGCCCUGAUCCAGACCUGGGCAGAUUACAAUUACAAUCAAGGCAGAAAUGAUCUCAUUUUUACAUUACAACUCUGGAAAAGGCAAUAGACUGAGAUGCAAGUGUGCCCCCAAGUGAUGGGCAGAAGGAGAGAAGGUGUUUUGGAUGCAUUCUAGAACACAGGUAAUCUAAGGAGAGUUGAUCAAGGCCGUGGAAGAGUCCUCCAGCCACUAUUGGCCAUCAAAGGAGUCCUCUGUGUCCCAGGAAUGGUCCUGCUUUGGUGUCCCUGGUGUGACCCAUCACCCGCUGGGAACAGCCUGAGAGAAGUAGGGCCUCUGCACCAAUGCUGCUGAGGAUGUCAGAGCACAGGAACGAGGCCUUGGGAAAUUACCUGGAAAUGCGACUGAAAUCUUCCUUCCUGAGGGGUCUGGGCUCUUGGAAAUCAAACCCUCUCAGGUUGGGUGGCUGGACGAUUCUCCUCACACUUACAAUGGGACAAGGGGAACCAGGAGGCCCCCAAGGGGAUCCCUGGGUUCCACACGAACUCCUCCUACCCUCAUUGUGUGACAGCAGCCAUGCCUCCUCCUGGGGAUCAGGAUCUAUUACCUGUGCCUGGAGAGGAGGGGACUCCUCUUCUCACCCGCUGGUCUCUGGACACAUACUGUCCAAUUCCCCUGUGGCAGCUGUAAUGUGUAGUUCAAUGGGCACUCAUUUGUCCCCUUUUAAGGGUACCCUCCUUUAGAAUCCAGGACCUUCUACCCUGCAGAGUGUGGUUUUGGGAGAGAAGUGCAAAAUCCCACGACAGGUGAGUUGAAGGAAUGGGAUAUGGAGCCACAUCCACUUCCACCCCUUGGUAUCUGGACCCACGUGUUCUUCCUACUGAGAUUACAGAACUGUAGAGAUGUCUUUGAUUUUUAAAAUGCACCAUGUCCUGAAAGAUGGCACCCUCCCACCCGCAGAGUGCUUCCUGCAAGCUGGCGUUGAGCUGUGCCUAUAGAAGCUCUUUUCAACAUUCUUUAUGGCCAGCAGCCCUUGGUUGGUGCAGAUGGUGAUA
rnacentral:lncRNA from 1 species